AACGGGUCCUACUCCUACGGGAGGCAGCAGUGGGGAAUAUUGGACAAUGGGGGAAACCCUGAUCCAGCGACGCCGCGUGAACGAAGAAGUCCUUCGGGAUGUAAAGUUCUUUUAAAUGGGAAGAAGACAGUGACGGUACCAAUUGAAUAAGCCCCGGCUAACUACGUGCCAGCAGCCGCGGUAAGACGUAGGGGGCAAGCGUUACCCGGAAUCACUGGGCGUAAAGGGAGCGUAGGCGGUUAUGCAGGUCAUACGUUAAAGGAUCCGGCUCAACCGGAGAGAUGCAUAUGAAACCGUAUAACUUGAGGAUAUCAGAGGAAAAGGGAAUUACCAUUGUAGGGGUGAAAUCCGUAGAGAGUGGUAAGAAUGCCGGUGGCGAAGGCGCUUUUCCGGGGUAUACCUGACGCUGAGGCUCGAAAGCCAGGGGAGCGAACCGGAUUAGAUACCCGGGUAGUC
rnacentral:rRNA from 1 species